rnacentral:rRNA from 1 species
GAUUUCUGGUUAAGUAACGCUAGCCCGCCCUUGCCAGGGGUGUGCGCUGGUUAGUUGCUUGCCAUCUUUCUAGAAAGCCAGCGUUUGUCAUUCACUUGGCGGACGUGACGCGAUCUAGAUCUUUUACUUUGAAAAAAUUAGAGUGUUUAAAGCAGGCUUACGCUAUGAAUACAUUAGCAUGGAAUAAUAAUUUAGGACUUUGUUUCUAUUUUGUUGGUUUCUAGAGGCGAAGUAAUGAUUGAUAGGGAUAGUUGGGGGUGCUAGUAUUCAGCGGCCAGAGGUGAAAUUCUUGGAUUCGCUGAAGACUAACUUAUGCGAAAGCAUU